rnacentral:rRNA from 1 species
UACGGAGGGGGCAAGCGUUGUUCGGAUUUACUGGGCGUAAAGGGUCCGUAGGUGGUUGUGUAAGUCUGGUGUGAAAUCUUCGCCGCUUAACGGGAAGAAGCCACUGGAAACUGCGCAACUUGAGUAUGGUAGAGGCAAGCGGAAUUCCUGGUGUAGCGGUGGAAUGUGUAGAUAUCAGGAAGAACAUCUGUGGCGAAGGCGGCUUGCUGGGCCAUCACUGACACUGAGGGACGAAAGCGUGGGGAGCGAACAGG